UAUUAUUAUUAUUAUUAUUAUUAACUACCAGUAGCAGUAGUUGUCUAGUAAUACUAGUAUUUUUUUUUCUUGGCCUCUUUGGUUCUCUUUUUAUUUACAAGGUAUUCCUUUCCAGAAUAGAGAUCCCUCCUCCAAGAUGCAGUUAAGUUCCUCCUAUUUUCAUCCAGCUAAAAACUGGUUGUUCACACUGAGACUGGCUCAAACACUUUCUCACUGUGUGCACAGCUGCCAAAAAAAGAGUCAUCUUUGUCUCCAGAUGCUAGACAAACACACUAUUUGGAUUUGUUAAAACGCCUAGUUGACUACCAAAGUAUAAAGGGAAGUGUCAUCAUGGAGAACAGCUUAAGCCAAGAAGCAGAGGAAAAUCCCUAUCUGUGUUUUCAGAGAACACCGUCUCUCAGACGUAAGUGGAGAAAGCGCUACGGAGGCCUGGAUGGUAAUAAACUGCUAGAGCCAAAUAAGGAGGACGACACAAGAGGUACAAAAACAAAACACUGGAAGAGUGUCAUAGAUGUGAGCCAGUGAACUUGGUGUUUCCACUGACAGUGACCCCAGUUGUGAGUGUCACAUUAGCUGUGGGAAAGUGUUUUCUGAUCAUUGAUUAUGGUUCCAAAUUCACAUCAGCUCUAUAGGAAAACUCCAAGAUCAGUGUGAGAGUGCUGCUUAAAGUAGGCCAAAUGAAUGGGACAGUUCUGUAGACGCUCUCAUUUAAGCAUGCUUGUGGUCAACAUCUGGGCCAUAAAAAUGUGCAAAGGCAGUGGGUGUGUUCUGGGGAGGAGUGAUGUGGCAUAUAUUGGUUUUAGUGUGGCUGACGAACACGUAUAAUGCUAUAUAAAGCUUUAGAAUCUUUGUUAAAGCUUCCUCUUCCAUUGACAUGAAUGUAAAUUUGAUAUAACCAUUUUUAAAACAUUUGAAACCUUUUUACAAUAAAAAAAAAUAGAGAUUUAUUUUGAAAUUAGUUAUAUAUGUAUUUUAGUUUACAAAUGAAGAUUGCAGCAGCAGUUUAAAAGAAUAGUUCACUCAGAUAUGAAAAUUUGCUGAAAAUGUACUCACCCUCAGGCCAUCCGAGAUGUAGAUGAAUUUGUUUCUUUAUGGGAACAGAUUUGGAGAAAUGUAGCAUUUCAUCACUUGCUCACUAAUGGAUUCUCUUUAGUGAAUGGGUGCCGUCAGAAUGAGAGUCCAAACAGCUGAUAAAAACAUCACAAUAAUCCACAUGACUCCAGUACAUCAAUGAAAGUGAAAAGUUAUGUGUUUGUAAUAAACAAAUUCUUAAAGGCACUUUAACUUUUAAUCAUCUCUUCUGGCCAAAAUAUGAGUCAAUAAUUCAUAAUCAAUAAUAAUG
rnacentral:lncRNA from 1 species